GAAACAGCCUACCUAGUUUAGUAGUCCUACUUGGUGAGAAGUGAGAGAAUAUGCAUUAUCCACCGUCGAAUGUCAAAGCAUGGUAUAAGGGAUCCCAGGAUCUCAUCCAAAUUCUGGGUUCAGAAUGAUGCAAGGACGUCUCAGGUUCCGACGUACAAAGGUUCAGAGACUUCGUGUGCAAGAAUCCAUGCCACGUCUGGAUCCACCGGGAAUUGUCCGCACACUACAACUACAAACUGUUCGGCGUAGAUGAUAUUCUGUGCCAGCCCCCAACAGUCAAAGGCAUAGCGAUGGCAACCAUAAAGUCAUAAAUUAAAGCUCUAUAUUGGGGGACUCGGAAGGAAGUACAAAAAUAAAUUAAGACCAUAUUUUUUUCACCCAUUUUGGAACGAUAAACCCAUAUACAGUAUAAUAUAGACCAUUUUAAAUUAAGUUUAAAUAUUUCAUGCUUUUAUUAUUUAUUACGCGCUAGGAAUCUAAUUCAUUUAGAUUUGGAGUGCUUUCGCUGCCAGCCUCUCCCAGUCAAAAAUUGAUUGGAUGUCAAGCGCUGUCAAUGGCAGCCAAUGAGUUAAAUGUUGAUGUUUAUGGCUUGCAAAAAUAAGAAACCCUAAAAUUUUAUGUCUCAGAAUUACGAAAAAAAAAAAUUCUGGGCCCUGCAACACAUUGUCUGUUAUUGCAGAAAUGUUGGUAUAGUUUUAGUUGCCACUUCUGGGAGAUGAUUGGAUGAAAUUUUACCCAUCAAAAUCAAAUUAUGAGGUGUGGCACGCCCUCUUUGCUUGUUGGCUCUUUGAAAAUGGCUUAACAAGUUCAACUUCAAAAGGGAUAAUGUAAAGUGCUUAUUUCUAAUCAAAAACAUAACAUUAAAAAAAAAAAAAAAAACAAUAAAAGCAUGAAAUAUCCCUGACCAAAAAAGUUAAAUAAAAUUAUAUAAAUGUGAACACUUUCACAGUCUAGGGCUAUGCACAUACAGAUGAGGCUAAUCAAUAACUAAAUUUGCCAUAUACGAUGUGUAAAUGUUUAGUUAUAUUUUAGGACUAGUUGGUUCAACUUUAAAUUACAUAUUUGCAGUUUUAUGUGAUGGUCCCAGAAGUGCAGCUGCGACAGGCCUUGACUCCUGAAGAAAUUCAGCAGAUGUCAGAAUUUUCUAAUGUAUUGAAUGUCUACAACGAGACUAUCCAUCCUGCGUCAAAUAUUUGGACUUGUUUUAAAUGACAGCAUAGAAUGUUGGUUGUCGUUGAUGUGACAUUACCUCAAUAAUGUGAAGAAAUAAUAAAGGCAAUGAUUGUUUUUCUGCAAAGUAAUAUUUUAUUGAUGACCAGUGUAAUACAAUACAAAUGAUAAACAGGCAAUUGAUGUACAAAAAAGGACUUCCAGCACAACUAACUCGUUCAUCAAAAAAAUUGUCCACUGGACACCAACAUGAGCCACUUAAGGUCAGUAACUUUUUCCCCUAAU